GCGUCGGUGGUGUAGUGGUUAACAUAGUUGCCUUCCAAGCAAUUCUCCCGGGUUCGAUUCCCGGCCGACGCA
rnacentral:tRNA from 1 species